rnacentral:lncRNA from 1 species
GCCUCGUUUGCUUAGUGCUAUUAACCUCUAUUAACUAAAUAGUAGGGGUUAGUAAGAUGUUUGGUUGAUGAGAUUCGUAUUUAGUCAAGCCCGCUACUACACUCAAAGCUCGCAAUUAAGUGCUAUUAUUUGGUUAAAUUAGUAGCACCUCUCCCCCUGCGAUUAAUUUUGUAGGGGGUGAUUAAAAGAGGAAAAUACAAUUUUAUCC